rnacentral:rRNA from 1 species
AUUGAACGCUGGCGGCAGGCCUAACACAUGCAAGUCGAACGGUAGCACAGGAGAGCUUGCUCUCUGGGUGACGAGUGGCGGACGGGUGAGUAAUGCAUGGGGAGCUGCCCAAUCGAGGGGGAUACCAGCUGGAAACGGCUGCUAAUACCGCAUACGCCCUGAGGGGGAAAGGUGGGGACCUUCGGGCCUACCGCGAUUGGAUGCACCCAUGUGGGAUUAGCUGGUUGGUGAGGUAACGGCUCACCAAGGCGACGAUCUCUAGCUGGUCUGAGAGGAUGACCAGCCACACUGGAACUGAGACACGGUCCAGACUCCUACGGGAGGCAGCAGUGGGGAAUAUUGCACAAUGGGGGAAACCCUGAUGCAGCCAUGCCGCGUGUGUGAAGAAGGCCUUCGGGUUGUAAAGCACUUUCAGUGGGGAGGAAGGGGCGAUGCCUAAUACGCAUUGUCAUUGACGUUACCCACAGAAGAAGCACCGGCUAACUCCGUGCCAGCCGCCGCAGUAAAAC